rnacentral:rRNA from 1 species
UACGUAGGGUGCAAGCGUUGUCCGGAAUUAUUGGGCGUAAAGAGCUCGUAGGCGGUUUGUCGCGUCUGCUGUGAAAACUCGGGGCUUAACUCCGGGCCUGCAGUGGGUACGGGCAGACUAGAGUGUGGUAGGGGAGACUGGAAUUCCUGGUGUAGCGGUGAAAUGCGCAGAUAUCAGGAGGAACACCGAUGGCGAAGGCAGGUCUCUGGGCAGUAACUGACGCUGAGGAGCGAAAGCGUGGGGAGCGAACAGG